rnacentral:rRNA from 1 species
CCUACGGGAGGCAGCAGUAGGGAAUCUUCCGCAAUGGACGAAAGUCUGACGGAGCAACGCCGCGUGAGUGAUGAAGGCUUUCGGGGCGUAAAACUCUGUUGUUAGGGAAGAACAAGUGCUAGUUGAAUAAGCUGGCACCUUGACGGUACCUAACCAGCGAGCCACGGCUAACUACGUGCCAGCAGCCGCGGUAAUACGUAGGUGGCAAGCGUUAUCCGGAAUUAUUGGGCGUAAAGCGAGCGCAGGUGGUUUCUUAAGUCUGAUGUGAAAGCCCACGGCUCAACCGUGGAGGGUCAGUGGAAACUGGGAGACUUGAGUGCAGAAGAGGAAAGUGGAAUUCCAUGUGUAGCGGUGAAAUGCGUAGAGAUAUGGAUGAACACUAGUGGCGAAGGCGACUUUCUGGUCUGUAACUGACACUGAGGCGCGAAAGCGUGGGGAGCAAACAGGAUUAGAUACCCUGGUAGUCCACGCCGUAAACGAUGAGCGCUAAGUGUUAGACGGUUUCAGCCCUUUAGUGCUGAAGUUAACGCAUUAAGCACUCCGCCUGGGGAGUACGGCCGCAAGGCUGAAACUUAAAGGAAUUGACGG